rnacentral:tRNA from 1 species
GGAUCCGUAGCUCAAUUGGUUAGAGCGCUCCCCUGUCACGGGAGAGGUCGCGGGUUCGAGUCCCGUCGGAUCCGCCA